CCCCGUCAGCUCCUCCGAAACCCUCCACAGUAGAUGUUCCAGCAACACAGAAUCAAGCUGUUUCCACAACACACAGCCCCUCUAAAGGAAGUGGACUCCUUACAGCAGGGGUGACCAUCAUUGCAUCUGGUAAGUCUGACUCCUUGGCACUUAAAAGAAAUUGUCAUCACUGUAGUAGGUACAGUCCAUGUUACUGGGAGAGAAUAUUGUCAUAUAACUGUCUUAGGCAUACUGUUAAAAGGCUGUGUACAAGGAUGCCAAAGAGAAAACAGGUAAAUGUAUUUUAUUAUCAUGUUUUGUGGACACCAUUAUGUACUUGGUAUGUUUCUAAGUACUAUUUCCAACCAUGUCCUUGUUCCAAAGUAAUAUUAGGACACUUCAAAUCAUUGGGCCAAGCAAUCAAGUAUUAUUACAUGCCUGUUGUUUUAAGGCAUCAUUCUAGGGGCCGAAGAAUGACAAGAAAAGAUAGUUAAUAAUACAGUUUCUAUCCUCAAGUAUUUUACAGUUAAUCAGAAAGGACUUCUUGGGGUUUUUUUCAUCUUUAUGGUUGAAAGUAUUACAUAUGUUCCCCUCCCCCCCGCACCUCUUCAAGAAAUUACUUCUUGACCAUUUCUAGCUUUCUGUCCUACCCUCAAAUAAAACGAAGAGUGCUACCUUUGAUUACAUGCUCUUUUUUUCCCCUUCCCUAUCAGUGAUUGAAAGCAAAAUUAUUUUUAAAAUAUUCUGUUGCUUUAGGCAUGAGGCCAAAAACAUCUAUCUGUGUUGCAAUUUAUUUUUGCAUUUGGUCCAUUCCUUUAUAUAUUAACAAUAAGAUUAAUAACUUCCAAAGAAGAUGCUAAGAGAAAUGUUGAUUAAGAAGCAAUACAGUUAAACUUGCAUAUUGAUAGGUAACAUUCAAUAGAAAAUACACUUGUAAAAAAGUGUAUAUUUUAAAAUUAUGUCCUUAUUAUCUGGAGUCUUCUGUCUUAUGUAUGUAUGAAUUAGCCAAGGGACUAUAAAGCUGAAAAGAGGUAUUGUGAAAUUAUUUUUUUUAAUUAUUUAUGAUAGUUCUUUUAUAUUUUGAAUAAAUGUAUCCUAAAGUUUAAAACUAAAAGAUUUGUUUUGAAAGAUUCUGUCAGAAUUCAAUUUGUUUAUUUUAUAUUUUAAAUAGAAAUAAAAUGUAUUAUAAAUGAAUAUGUCAUGAUUUCAUGAUUUAAUGUUGACAAACAGUGAUGUGUUUAAUAGAUGAGGUGUUUUUCACCUGCUCAGUGUUGUUCAAUAAAGAUUUGAAAUGCUUA